rnacentral:sRNA from 1 species
GCCAAGUAUGGUGGUGCAUGCCUGUAAUCCCAGCAACUUGGGAGGCUGAAGCAGGAGGAUUGCAAGUUCAAGGCCAGCCUCUGCAAUUUAGUGAGGCCCUGUCUCAA